UGCAGUCGAGCGAAUGGAAGGGAGCUUGCUCCCUGAAGUUAGCGGCGGACGGGUGAGUAACACGUGGGCAACCUGCCUGUAAGACUGGGAUAACUUCGGGAAACCGGAGCUAAUACCGGAUACGUUCUUUCCUCGCAUGAGGAAAGAUGGAAAGAUGGUUUCGGCUAUCACUUACAGAUGGGCCCGCGGCGCAUUAGCUAGUUGGUGGGGUAAUGGCCUACCAAGGCGACGAUGCGUAGCCGACCUGAGAGGGUGAUCGGCCACACUGGGACUGAGACACGGCCCAGACUCCUACGGGAGGCAGCAGUAGGGAAUCUUCCGCAAUGGACGAAAGUCUGACGGAGCAACGCCGCGUGAGCGAAGAAGGCCUUCGGGUCGUAAAGCUCUGUUGUCAGGGAAGAACAAGUGCCAGAGUAACUGCUGGCACCUUGACGGUACCUGACCAGAAAGCCACGGCUAACUACGUGCCAGCAGCCGCGGUAAUACGUAGGUGGCAAGCGUUGUCCGGAAUUAUUGGGCGUAAAGCGCGCGCAGGCGGUCCUUUAAGUCUGAUGUGAAAGCCCACGGCUCAACCGUGGAGGGUCAUUGGAAACUGGGGGACUUGAGUGCAGAAGAGGAGAGUGGAAUUCCACGUGUAGCGGUGAAAUGCGUAGAGAUGUGGAGGAACACCAGUGGCGAAGGCGACUCUCUGGUCUGUAACUGACGCUGAGG
rnacentral:rRNA from 2 species